AAAAGCAGCUUCCUAUUAUAGGAAAAAGAGAGAAGAGCUGUUGUUCAAAUAGAAUAUUGAGAAAUACAGUUUUCUUAAGGAUCCUAAAGCCAGAACUGUAUUGCUAAGUAAUGCUGGGCCUCCUUUCCAGCUCUGGAUUCCUGUUAAUCACGUGACUGACAAGUAAUAGGAUUGAAACUGUUUAGCUCCUAGGCAACAGCUUGAAGUGCCUAAAGCUUGGUUUAAUGAUUAUCUGAGUUUUAACGCGUCUGUUUUCUAUUAUGUAUAUGUGAUCUUAUCUUUAAUAGGUGAACACAUUAUAAGUUUAUUCAAUAUAAAACAGGAUAACCAAAGGAGAAGGCUUCUGGAAGCAGUAAUGAUGAAAGGUACAUUGAGGUAUGCAUCACCUUAGGAAAGCAUAAAAAGAAAAACUACGGCCAUGAAGGACUUUUCUGGGGGAAAAUGUACCACAUUUGAAUACAGCACUUUGUGUCAGUUCUAUCCUUUUGAUCACAUCACCUGUGAAUGUGGCACUCAGUCAAAGGUUUGAAUAGAAUCUAUUUUACCACCUUCAUCGUCAUCAUCACUCUCAGCCUCAUCACCAUCACCAGCCCAUGAUGGGCACCAAGAUUUCACAUUCCAGAGGAAGGUAUUUCAAUAUAGAUUAUAGGUUUUUAUUUGAUUUAAAAUGUUUGCAGUGCAAAUAUGAAAAUUAUAUUACAUUCAUCCACCAGAGGGAGCCCCCAAAUCUGCUGUCUAAAAGAAAAUAAGGCUGCAAUAAAUAAGUGGCAUUUCUUUACAUUUUAUUGUUGACAAUGACAUGUUAAUUGACUCGGUGUCAUGGUGGUUAUGGGCUCACAUAUUAAAUGGUCUUUUGAAUAUAAGGUGACUAAAAUCAUUUCUUACUAUACAUGCCACUUCAUUUUAAUUUAUGGUUCUUAAAUAAUUGUCUAUACUUUUGUCUUUUUCUAACUUUGUCUUCGAGUUUUUGUGUUAUUUUAGUUCUACU